GACGAACGCUGGCGGCGUGCUUAACACAUGCAAGUCGAACGGAAAGGCCCUGCUUUUGUGGGGUGCUCGAGUGGCGAACGGGUGAGUAACACGUGAGUAACCUGCCCUUGACUUUGGGAUAACUUCAGGAAACUGGGGCUAAUACCGGAUAGGAGCUCCUGCUGCAUGGUGGGGGUUGGAAAGUUUCGGCGGUUGGGGAUGGACUCGCGGCUUAUCAGCUUGUUGGUGGGGUAGUGGCUUACCAAGGAUUUGACGGGUAGCCGGCCUGAGAGGGUGACCGGCCACAUUGGGACUGAGAUACGGCCCAGACUCCUACGGGAGGCAGCAGUGGGGAAUAUUGCACAAUGGGCGGAAGCCUGAUGCAGCAACGCCGCGUGCGGGAUGACGGCCUUCGGGUUGUAACCCGCUUUCGCCUGUGACGAAACGUGAGUGACGGUAAUGGGUAAAGAAGCACCGGCUAACUACGUG
rnacentral:rRNA from 1 species